UCCGGAGCUAACGCGUUAAGUCGACCGCCUGGGGAGUACGGCCGCAAGGUUAAAACUCAAAUGAAUUGACGGGGGCCCGCACAAGCGGGGAGCAUGUGGUUUAAUUCGAUGCAACGGAAGAACCUUACCUACUCUUGACAUCCAGAGAACUUAGCAGAGAUGCUUUGGUGCCUUCGGGAACUCUGAGACAGGUGCUGCAUGGCUGUCGUCAGCUCGUGUUGUGAAAUGUUGGGUUAAGUCCCGCAACGAGCGCAACCCUUAUCCUUUGUUGCCAGCGUUAGGCCGGGAACUCAAAGGAGACUGCCAGUGAUAAACUGAGGAAGUGGGGUGACGCAAGCAUCAUGGCCUUACGAGAGGCUACACACGUGCUA
rnacentral:rRNA from 1 species